rnacentral:rRNA from 1 species
AAGUCGAACGAUGAAGCCCUUCGGGGUGGAUUAGUGGCGAACGGGUGAGUAACACGUGGGCAAUCUGCCCUUCACUCUGGGACAAGCCCUGGAAACGGGGUCUAAUACCGGAUAACACCGGCCUCCGCAUGGAGGCUGGUUGAAAGCUCCGGCGGUGAAGGAUGAGCCCGCGGCCUAUCAGCUUGUUGGUGGGGUAAUGGCCUACCAAGGCGACGACGGGUAGCCGGCCUGAGAGGGCGACCGGCCACACUGGGACUGAGACACGGCCCAGACUCCUACGGGAGGCAGCAGUGGGGAAUAUUGCACAAUGGGCGAAAGCCUGAUGCAGCGACGCCGCGUGAGGGAUGACGGCCUUCGGGUUGUAAACCUCUUUCAGCAGGGAAGAAGCGAAAGUGACGGUACCUGCAGAAGAAGCGCCGGCUAACUACGUGCCAGCAGCCGCGGUAAUACGUAGGGCGCAAGCGUUGUCCGGAAUUAUUGGGCGUAAAGAGCUCGUAGGCGGCUUGUCACGUCGGGUGUGAAAGCCCGGGGCUUAACCCCGGGUCUGCAUCCGAUACGGGCAGGCUAGAGUGUGGUAGGGGAGAUCGGAAUUCCUGGUGUAGCGGUGAAAUGCGCAGAUAUCAGGAGGAACACCGGUGGCGAAGGCGGAUCUCUGGGCCAUUACUGACGCUGAGGAGCGAAAGCGUGGGGAGC